rnacentral:rRNA from 1 species
UACGGGGGGUGCGAGCGUUGUCCGGAAUCACUGGGCGUAAAGGGCGCGUAGGUGGUUUGAUAAGGGUGUGGUGAAAGCCCGGGGCUCAACCCCGGGUCGGCCGUGCCGACUGUUGAACUCGAGGGCUGUAGAGGCAGACGGAAUUCCGGGUGUAGCGGUGGAAUGCGUAGAGAUCCGGAGGAAGACCGGUGGCGAAGGCGGUCUGCUGGGCAGUUUCUGACACUGAGAGACGAAAGCUAGGGGAGCGAAUGGG